rnacentral:rRNA from 1 species
UAACCUACGGGAGGCAGCAGUGGGGAAUAUUGGGCAAUGGAGGAAACUCUUACCCAGCAAUGCCGCGUGAAUGAAGAAGGUCUUCGGAUUGUAAAGCUCUUUAAUUGGGGACGAAAAAAAUGACGGUACCCAAGGAAUAAGCCCCGCCUAACUACGUGCCAGCAGUCGCGGUAAUACGUAGGGGGCAAGCGUUGUUCGGAAUGACUGGGCGUAAAGGGUGUGUAGGCGGUGUAGCAAGUUAGAAGUAAAAUAACUAG